GAUGAACGCUGGCGGCGUGCCUAAUACAUGCAAGUCGAGCGAACAGAUGAGGAGCUUGCUCCUCUGACGUUAGCGGCGGACGGGUGAGUAACACGUGGAUAACCUACCUAUAAGACUGGGAUAACUUCGGGAAACCGGAGCUAAUACCGGAUAAUAUAUUGAACCGCAUGGUUCAAUAGUGAAAGACGGUUUUGCUGUCACUUAUAGAUGGAUCCGCGCCGCAUUAGCUAGUUGGUAAGGUAACCGCUUACCAAGGCAACGAUGCGUAGCCGACCUGAGAGGGUGAUCGGCCACACUGGAACUGAGACACGAUCCAGACUCCUACGGGAGGCAGCAGUAGGGAAUCUUCCGCAAAGGGCGAAAGCCUGACGGAGCAACGCCGCGUGAGUGAUGAAGGUCUUCGGAUCGUAAAACUCUGUUAUUAGGGAAGAACAAAUGUGUAAGUAACUAUGCACGUCUUGACGGUACCUAAUCAGAAAGCCACGGCUAACUACGUG
rnacentral:rRNA from 1 species